CGUCUACAUCAGGUAGUAAUACACCGGUUCUCAUCUAAUCACCGAAGUCGAGCAGAGUCGGGCGCGGUCACUAAUUGAAUGGGUGACCGCCUGAGAAUACCGCGUAGUGU